rnacentral:rRNA from 1 species
UACGAAGGGGGCUAGCGUUGUUCGGAAUUACUGGGCGUAAAGCGCGCGCAGGCGGUUUUUCAAGUCAGUGGUGAAAGCCCGGAGCUCAACUCCGGAUCUGCGGUGGGUACGGGCAGACUAGAGUGAUGUAGGGGAGACUGGAAUUCCUGGUGUAGCGGUGAAAUGCGCAGAUAUCAGGAGGAACACCGAUGGCGAAGGCAGGUCUCUGGGCCAUUACUGACGCUGAGGAGCGAAAGCGUGGGGAGCGAACAGG